AGUUUUAAUUUAAAAAUUUUUAAGGAUAAGCUUAAAAAUUAAAAAAUAAGUAGUAAUAUUUAAAAAUAGAGUAACGUAAGCUUGAAAUUAGUUAUCGUUAUGAGUUUGUUAUAAAAUAACUCAUUUGAUUUUAGAAAAUUUUUAUACUUACGUAUUUUUUAGUAUAUGAAGAUAUAAAGGUUAAUCAAAAUCCCUUUAAAACCUAUGCUAAGAUGAGUAUUAUUUUAACAAGAUUAAUGAAAAGAAAAAUACUAACUUUUUCUGACAUUUAGGUUUUAUAANNAUUAAAUAAAAAAAAGGAAUUCAGCAAAAUUAAUUGUUUCGCCUGUUUAUCAAAAACAUCGCUCCUUGCUUUAUUAAAUAUAAGGAGUCGGACCUGCCCAGUGAGAUUUUUAACGGCCGCGGUACUCUGACCGUGCAAAGGUAGCAUAAUCAUUUGCCUUAUAAUUGAAGGCUUGUAUGAAUGGUUUGACGAAAUCAAUACUGUCUCUCUUUUAUUUCAUAGAAUUUGACCUAAGAGUGAAGAGGCUCUUAUUUUACUGAAGGACAAGAAGACCCUGUCGAGCUUAAAAAAUAAUCAGAAAGUUAAUAUAAAACUAAAUAAAUAAGCUACUAAAUAUAUUUUUUGGUUGGGGCGACUAAGGAACAAAAAAAGCUUCCUUUAUCUUUNUAUGUCUUACAAGUCAAGGAUCCAGCUAUGCUGACUACAGAAAUUAGUUACCGCAGGGAUAACAGCAUAAUCUCUCUUAAGAGACCGUAUCGAAAGAGGGGAUUGUGACCUCGAUGUUGGACUAGGAUAUCCUAAAGAUGCAGAA
rnacentral:rRNA from 1 species